GACGGGACCGCACAAGCGGUGGAUGAUGUGAUUAAUUCGAUGCAACGCGAAAACCUUACCUACCCUUGACAUGUCCGGAAUCCCGAAGAGAUUUGGGAGUGCUCGCAAGAGAACCGGAACACAGGUGCUGCAUGGCUGUCGUCAGCUCGUGUCGUGAGAUGUUGGGUUAAGUCCCGCAACGAGCGCAACCCUUGUCAUUAGUUGCCAUCAUUUGGUUGGGCACUCUAAUGAGACUGCCGGUGACAAACCGGAGGAAGGUGGGGAUGACGUCAAGUCCUCAUGGCCCUUAUGGGUAGGGCUUCACACGUCAUACAAUGGUCGGUACAGAGGGUUGCCAACCCGCGAGGGGGAGCUAAUCCCACAAAGCCGAUCGUAGUCCGGAUCGCAGUCUGCAACUCGACUGCGUGAAGUCGGAAUCGCUAGUAAUCGUGGAUCAGCAUGUCACGGUGAAUACGUUCCCGGGUCUU
rnacentral:rRNA from 1 species